rnacentral:lncRNA from 1 species
AAGUAGCCUAGCUGGCUUUCAAACUCACAGGUCUCCUCUAUCAGCCUCCGAAGUGCUAGGGUCCCAGGCAUGCUCUACCACAGCUGGGUAAAUGGAAGUCUCCAAUGCCCUAAACUUUAAACUUACGGCUCAUGCUUCAUUUUGUUCCUCGUAGAAAAUCAACCUAAACUGGAGGCAAAAAUCAGCAGAGUCGGGUUGGUAGGAUGGAAAACAUGGCUUUGUUUCUUCUCCAGAGCUGGGUGUUGAGUCCAUGGCCUUGUGCAUACUAGCGUGUGUUCUGCCACUGAGCUAUCGCUAGCUCUUUUUUCUUUAAUUUUAAUUUUUGAGACAGGGUCUUGAUAAGUCACACUGGUUGGCCUUGAGCUCCUUAUUGUCCUGCCUCAGCAUCCUCCAUAGCUGGGUGACAGACCAGGCCAAUGGACAGCAGGGGCUCCCAGCUGCCUCCUACUGCCUUAGGUAUGCUGUUUAGGGCUCUGUGCCCCAUGUGUAGAGAUUCAUGCUUGGCUUAAAGGACUUUGUGAGCCUGGAAGGGAAAAAAAAUGCUUCACAAAAUGGUGGAAAUGCAGCUCAACUCCAGGAACCAUUUUGAUUACAAGCAGUACCUCGCUGCCCCCUCCUUGAACUCAGGAGGUGACUUCGUGGAGGAAAGAAACCAGGUGCCUCCUUGUUCACCUGAAUAAGUCUGACCCAGGCUUUCUGUGCCAGGGUGUGGCCACUGCUAACCCUGCAGAAGAGCAAAUACAUUUUAACCACUGUGAAAAAUUAUUCCCACAAUUGCCAGUCUGCUGUGGGCGAGAGCUGAAGCCAUGAAUCUCAGGCACCUUUGUCCUAGGAAAAGCAUUUAUGCUUCGUGAUUCAAAAACAAAGCACCACACACAGGGACCUGCAAGAUAGCUUGGUGGGUAAAGGCUUUGCUGGACAAGCCUGGUGACCUGAGACCUGAGUUCUAUCCCUGGAACCUACAGAAAGACAGAGAGAACCAACGUGACAGUGUUGACCUCUGACCUCCACAAAUGCACCAGAGGCAUGCACUCCCAUAAAUUCAAAACACAUACACACACACACACAUACCCCAAACACUGAAACUCCCCGAAACUGGUGUUGAUCUCCCUUUGAAACAAUUUAAGUAAGGAAAAUCUAGGUCCUUGUAGACAUGGCUCCCAUCUACCUAGAAGCUGUUUAUCCCCAAUAGGCAACAAAGGAGUUCUCUGCUCCAUGCCCAUCUGUGCAGAGAGCCCACUGGCAUACUCUGUGGAUGUUCUGUGAGACAUCUACAGGAAUGAUAGCAGAGCUAGCUGCGGUGGUUCCUAAACACUAAGUCCCAAGUCACUGGGAACUUCAAAUAAGGACGUCAUGGUUCUUAAGGUCCCUGAGCAUAAGAAUAAAGUAGAAGUCUUCAUCCUAGGGACCCCACCCAAGUGGCAAGAGUCACAACUCAGGAUGUUCAUGGUCUGUUUAUUCUAUUCUUCUGUAUAGUUGGUUUCUACCACAUUUUCUAAUUAAAAUUUUUAAAUUUUAUGGACAUGGCAUUUUGCCUCUAUGUAUAUCUGUGCACCACAUGUGUGCUGGUUCCCUCAAGAGGCCAGAAAAGGGCAUUGCAUCACCUAGAAAUGGAGUUAUAGAUGGUUGUAGUCCACCUUGUGAGUUUGGGGAGGCAAAUCCUAGCUGGUCCUCUGAAGAAAGGCAGCCAAAUCUUAACUUCUGAGCCACCUUGCCAACUCCGACAUUUCUAAUUUCUUAAGAUUUGUGCCCAUCUUUUUUUUUCAAUUAAGAAUACAAAUGCCUUGCUGGCAUUUUGUAGAAAAUGAAUACACUCACUGAAUGUGAACUCAUUCCAAAUACACGUUAAACAGUGUCAACCAGCAGGUUCCUGGACUGUGCGGCAAGUUUGUACUUUUUGUGUGUGCAUGUUUGAUUUACUGGGUAGAUCACUGGCCCACACAUUUGUUACAAUAAAUGUAAUCAAUUUUUGUGAUUAAAAUAAUGGGGAUGGGUAUCAGAGGUAAAGUAUAUCAUUAGCAUACUGGAGAUGAUGGGAUUAGUCAUCACCAAAACGUUAACAUGAAAGAACAUCUUACUUAGAAAAAUGCUUUUGGGUUAUGGGAAGACGAGUUUGGCUUUUGAUAUUGUUUUUAAACAGGAUCUCCUGUUAGCCUUAAACUCCUGGGCUCGGAUGAUCCUUAGCUUCCCAGAUAUCUGUAACAAUAAGCAUGUUGUCACCAAAUCAGCUAAGAGUCGAUUUUUUUUUAUUAUUAUUUUUAAGGGUUUUUGAGUUUGGGCCUCAUGUAGUUCAGGCUCACCUGGGAACUCUCCUGCUCCACUUCCUGUGUUGGAGUCACGCCUGCGACCAUGCCCAGCUAAGGAGUGUUUUUCGAUGAACCUUUGUUACUGUUCCAUAAGAUAUGUAACAGGUGGGAGUUUUUGAAGAUGUCUAUACAGUUAUGUAAGAACAAGGCUUAAUGAACCACAACCUGUGAGCCAGAUCUGACCUGCCACCUGAUUUUGUAUAACUCAUGAGUUUAAAGUGUUUUCAUAUGUCCCAAUGGAUUGGGUGGGUUAGAACAGUUGUUUCCUGAAACCUGUGAGUGAGCAGCCUCAGUGCCCCAUGCCUGAGUAGCUGUGUUGUGACAGUAUGGCCUACAGAGCCUAAAGGACUUGCUACAAAGCUGCUAAAAAAGGUUUACAGCCCUUAUCUAUACCAAUCGAAAGACACUGGCUUCCCCUGCUUAUGAGGCAUUAUUUUAUUCUAUUAAACACCUUCUGUGAAAAGGGCACAUUUUCUGAGCCUUUGUUAUUAGGGCUUCUUGGCAGUAAUUAUCAACUCAAAUGAUACUAGCCUGAUACUAAUCCUGUCUCCCAGGUAGUGGGGCUCACUGAAAGUGUCAAGAGUUCAUCUGUGUUUUACAUCUGAGGGCCUUUAAGCAGGGCCCCAAAGCAAGUGCUUGGUUCUUCUUUCGGUAUCUUUGCUCUUCUGGGACUUGGGGGAGAAUAAAGAUCAGACACACAAUGUAGACAAGCCUAUUUUGUGAUGUGAUGACCUUCAAAUUGGAUCCCGUGGCUUGUCCUCUCUGAAGGCCGGAGCCCAGUGUUUUAGUUACCCCUGUGCAGCUACUUCAAAACAGAAUUUUACUUGAAUACUUAAUACUGUGACUGUUUCAUGCCAUACUUUGUGAGACAAAUCUCAUGAGUUGUUGAGAAAUAUAUAUUGCUCUAUAAACAUGUACACAUUGCUUCAUUUUUCUAGUGUGUGACAUUGUGUGAUCAACAGAGUUGAAUCUAAUAAAUGUUUAACAG